CAGCCGUAAACUAUGCGCGUUAGGUGUACUGGUGACCACGAGUCACCGGGGUGCCGAAGGGAAACCGUGAAACGUGCCGCCUGGGAAGUACGGUCGCAAGGCUGAAACUUAAAGGAAUUGGCGGGGGAGCACCACAACAGGUGGAGCCUGCGGUUUAAUUGGACUCAACGCCGGGAAGCUCACCGGAUAGGACAGCAGAAUGAUUGCCGGGCUGAAGACCCUGCAUGACUAGCUGAGAGGAGGUGCAUGGCGUAGACGUCCU
rnacentral:rRNA from 1 species